rnacentral:snoRNA from 1 species
UCAUAUGAUGAUUCAUCUUUGCUUCGGCAAGUUGGAAUUACCGACUGAGACCAUCUGGUCGUUGUGGAAAAAAAUUGGCUGUUUCUGAUC